rnacentral:rRNA from 1 species
CGAGUCCGAGUCUCCACGGAGACGAAGUGGCGGUCAUCCAGCUUCCUAGAAAAGCUCUAACCACGUUAAUCUUUAGUUGCCUGUACCCGAAACCGACACGGGUAGGGGGGUAGAGAAUACCAAGGGGCGCGAGAUAACUCUCUCUAAGGAACUCGGCAAAAUGACCCCGUAACUUCGGGAGAAGGGGUACCACUGAGAAGUGGUCGCAGUGAAGAGGCCCAGGCGACUGUUUACCAAAAACACAGGUCUCCGCCAAGUCGCAAGACGAAGUAUGGGGGCUGACGCCUGCCCAGUGCCGGAAGGUUAAGGAAGUGGGUUAGGGAUUCGUCCCGAAGCUGACGACUGAAGCCCCGGUGAACGGCGGCCGUAACUAUAACGGUCCUAAGGUAGCGAAAUUCCUUGUCGGGUAAGUUCCGACCCGCACGAAAGGCGUAACGAUCUGGGCGCUGUCUCGGAGAGAGGCUCGGCGAAAUAGGAUUGUCUGUGAAGAUACGGACUACCUGCACCUGGACAGAAAGACCCUAUGAAGCUUUACUGUAGCUUGGAAUUGGGUUCGGGCUUGGUUUGCGCAGGAUAGGUGGGAGGCGAAGAAGAUUUGCUUGUGGGUGAAUCUGAGCCAACGGUGAGAUACCACUCUAACCAGGCUAGAAUUCUAACUUCAACCCGUCAACCGGGGGAAGGACAGUUUCAGGUGGGCAGUUUGACUGGGGCGGUCGCCUCCUAAAAGAUAACGGAGGCGCACAAAGGUUCCCUCAGGCUGGUUGGAAAUCAGCCAACGAGUGCAAAGGCAGAAGGGAGCUUGACUGCGAGACCUACAAGUCAAGCAGGGUGGAAACACGGUCUUAGUGAUCCGACGGCACCGAGUGGAAGGGCCGUCGCUCAACGGAUAAAAGUUACUCUAAGGAUAACAGGCUGAUCUCCCCCAAGAGUUCACAUCGACGGGGAGGUUUGGCACCUCGAUGUCGGCUCAUCGCAACCUGGGGCGGAAGUACGUCCCAAGGGUUGGGCUGUUCGCCCAUUAAAGCGGUACGUGAGCUGGGUUCAGAACGUCGUGAGACAGUUCGGUCCAUAUCCGGUGUAGGCGCAAGAACAUUGAGGGGAGUCUUCCUUACGAGAGGACCGGGAAGAACGCACCGCUGGUGUACCUGUUAUCGUGCCAACGGUAAACGCAGGGUAGCCAAGUGCGGAGUGGAUAACCGCUGAAAGCAUCUAAGUGGGAAGCCCACCUCAAGAUGAGUGUUCUCAUGGAGUAAUCCAGUAAGGUCACGGGAAGACGACCCGUUGAUAGGCGGUAGGUGGAAGUUCAGCAAUGGAUGAAGCCGAGCCGUACUAACAGACCGAGGGCUUGACC